GGGAGUAUGGUGUAGACAGUCUGCACGUCUGACUGAAGACCAGAAGGUCAUGGUGCGAUUCCAUGUGCUCCCA
rnacentral:tRNA from 1 species